rnacentral:rRNA from 1 species
GACGAACGCUGGCGGCGUGCUUAACACAUGCAAGUCGAACGGAAAGGCCCUGCUUUUGUGGGGUGCUCGAGUGGCGAACGGGUGAGUAACACGUGAGUAACCUGCCCUUGACUUUGGGGUAACUUCAGGAAACUGGGGCUAAUACCGGAUAGGAGCUCCUGCUGCAUGGUGGGGGUUGGAAAGUUUCGGUGGUUGGGGAUGGACGCGCGGCUUAUCAGCUUGUUGGUGGGGUAGUGGCUUACCAAGGCUUUGACGGGUAGCCGGCCUGAGAGGGUGACCGGCCACAUUGGGACUGGGGUACGGCCCAGACUCCUACGGGAGGCAGCAGUGGGGAAUAUUGCACAAUGGGCGGCAGCCUGAUGCAGCAACUCCGCGUGCGGGAUGACUGCCUUCGGGUUGUAAACCGCUUUCGCCUGUGACGAAGCGUGAGUGACGGUAAUGGGUAAAGAAGCACCGGCUAACUACGUG